rnacentral:rRNA from 1 species
AGCAGUCGCCGCGGGAACACAGAGGGUGCGAGCGUUAAUCGGAUUUACUGGGCGUAAAGCGUGCGUAGGCGGCUUUUUAAGUCGGAUGUGAAAUCCCUGAGCUUAACUUAGGAAUUGCAUUCGAUACUGGGAAGCUAGAGUAUGGGAGAGGAUGGUAGAAUUCCAGGUGUAGCGGUGAAAUGCGUAGAGAUCUGGAGGAAUACCGAUGGCGAAGGCAGCCAUCUGGCCUAAUACUGACGCUGAGGUACGAAAGCAUGGGGAGCAAACAGGAUUAGAUACCCCGGUAGUCCCUGUCUCUUAUAC